rnacentral:lncRNA from 10 species
CUUGAGCCUAGGAGUUCCAGGUUACAGCAAGCUAUAUGCACACAAGUGCACUCCAGCCUGAAUGACAGAGCAAGACACUGUCUAAAGAAAAAAAAAAAAUUGAAAACUACUGAUAAAGUAUAUAACCCUAGGGCAAGCAAGGAUCCUAAAGUUCUCCCAAAUGAGGAACCAAGACACCCACUGUUUUCAUCUGUAGGAGUGCAUCCUUAUACGUCCCUGGGAAGACAGGAUGGAGACUCAGUGGUCUCAAACUUGAAGGACAACUGCAUCUCAGCACCAUCAACAUCUGCGAAUUUUACCACUGCCAACAUCUGCAACAGACCCUCCUUCAAAGUGCUGAGAAGACUUGAAAAGCAGAAGCUUUAAGUUAAGAUCUGGUGGCUGGGAGGUUCAAGAUCACAGCACCAGCAGAUUUGAUGAAGGCACACUCUAUGCUUCCAAGAUGGCUGCUUGCUGCUGCAUCCUCACAAAGCAGAAGCGGAAAUGGAACAAAUGCUGUGUCCACACAUGGCAGAAAAGACGGAAGAACAAAAGGGAUGAACUUGGUCCCUCAAGCCCUUUUAUAAAGGUACUAAUCCUAUCCAUGAAAGCAGAGUCCUCAUAGCCUAACCACCUCCCAAAGGGCUCACCUCUUAUACCCAAAAGAAUGAAAAGCAGUGUCUCAAAGAGAUAUCUGUACACCCAUGUUCUUUUUUUUUUCUUCUUCUUUUUUUUUUUUGUUUUGAGACACGGUCUCACGCCCGGGCUGGAGUGCAACGGCACAAUCUUGGCUCACUGCAACCUCUACCUCCUGGGUUCAAGUGAUUCUCCUGCCUCAGCCCCCCGAGUAGCUGGGAUUACAGGCACAUACCACCAUGUCCCGCUAAUUUUUGUAUUUUUAGUCGAGAUAGGGUUUUGCUAUGUUGGCCCAGCUGGUCUUGAACUCCUGACCUGAGGUGAUCCGCCUGCCUCAGCUUCCCAAAGUGCUGGGAUUACAGAUGUGAGCCACCGCACCCAGCUGUACAUCCAUGUUCAACAGCAUUUUUCACAACAGCCAAAAGGUGGGAGCAACCCAAGUGUCCACUGACAGAUGAAUGGAUAAACAACAUGUGGUCUAUACAUACAAUGGAAUAUUAUUCAGCCUUAAAAAGGAAGUAAAUUCUGAUACAUGCUACGACAUGGGUGAAUCUUCAGGACAUUAUGCUAAAUAAAAUAAUCCAGCCACAAAAAGGCAACUAUGGUAUGAUUCUACUUAUAAGAGGUAAUUAGAAUAGUCAAGUUCCAGAAAGUAGAAUGGUGAUUGCCAGGGGCUGGGGAGAG